rnacentral:rRNA from 1 species
GACGAACGCUGGCGGCGUGCUUAACACAUGCAAGUCGAGCGGUAAGGCCCUUCGGGGUACACGAGCGGCGAACGGGUGAGUAACACGUGGGUGACCUGCCUCUAGCUCUGGGAUAAGCCUGGGAAACUGGGUCUAAUACCGGAUAUGACUCCACGGCGCAUGUUGUGGGGUGGAAAGCCUUGUGUGGCUAGAGAUGGGCCCGCGGCCUAUCAGCUAGUUGGUGAGGUAACGGCUCACCAAGGCGA